rnacentral:rRNA from 1 species
AACGAACGCUGGCGGCAUGCCUAACACAUGCAAGUCGAACGAGACCUUCGGGUCUAGUGGCGCACGGGUGCGUAACGCGUGGGAAUCUGCCCUUGGGUUCGGAAUAACAGUUGGAAACGACUGCUAAUACCGGAUGAUGACGUAAGUCCAAAGAUUUAUCGCCCAAGGAUGAGCCCGCGUAGGAUUAGCUAGUUGGUGAGGUAAAGGCUCACCAAGGCGACGAUCCUUAGCUGGUCUGAGAGGAUGAUCAGCCACACUGGGACUGAGACACGGCCCAGACUCCUACGGGAGGCAGCAGUGGGGAAUAUUGGACAAUGGGCGAAAGCCUGAUCCAGCAAUGCCGCGUGAGUGAUGAAGGCCUUAGGGUUGUAAAGCUCCUUUACCCGGGAUGAUAAUGACAGUACCGGGAGAAUAAGCUCCGGCUAACUCCGUG